GAAUGAACUUGGUGUGGUUGUUGCUGGCUCUUUCGAGGGCAUGUGCACGCCCACCAUCCUCAUCUCUCCACCUGUGCACCUCUUGUAGACUUGGAUUGACUUUCCGAGGCAACUCGGUCGGGAGGAUUGCCGGCGCCAGCUGGCUUUCUUUGCAUUUCCAGGUCUACGUUUUUCAUAUACCCCAUUGUAUGUAACAGAAUGUAACAUUGGGCACUUGUGCCUAUAAACUUUAUACAACUUUCAGCAACGGAUCUCUUGGCUCU
rnacentral:misc_RNA from 1 species